rnacentral:lncRNA from 10 species
GUUUGGAUGGACGAACAGCAUAAGCAACAUUCUGGAAUUUUCUUUAAUGCUCUCAUGAAUGCAUUCUUGGAAUUUUCUAAUAUGUAAACAUUAUUUUGUGGCCAACUGACUUCAAUUAUAUGUAGAACCAUCCAAAAGUCUCCUCUCAGGGGAUUUCCAAACUGGAAAUAACCAACACAACUAGGUCAAGCAUCCAUCAUGCACCAUGUACACCACAGUGCACCACAGCUGAGACCAGUGUGGAUCCCACCAUCAGCAGCUUUUCCAAAGGACCCAGGCAAAAUGGUCAAUAUUGCCUUCUCUCCUCACUUUUACCUCACCUUUCAGCCUCUUGGUCCCUUCCUCCACUCCCACCCUAAGAUGCUUAUAGUCUAUUUGUCAUCCUCCAGUGGUUUAUAAUUCCUGUUUCACUACCUUAUUUAGCCUGUUGCCUUUUACAGCAUUCCAAAAUGCUCAUUUAUUCUCUUUUAUGACUCAUCCAAUACUAACCCUAUUUACCAUUCUAAACUGAAGUAGACUGCACCUCUUUUUCUCAAGUACUAAUGUAGAAUUUCAGUUUUAUUUGUCCAAUUUCAAACACUAGGAAAGUUUAAGAAAUAAUCUUCGUGCCUUCCUGAUAGUGGCAAUUGAACAUUUUUCUUGACAUAGAACAAUAUUUGGUCUUAACUGAUCUUUGCUGUGGACCAGGCACUGUUCUAGGUAUUUUAUACUUGCCAGCAAAAUCUCACAGCAAUCUUUGGGAGUAGUUACUUUUAUUAUCUCAUUUUACAGAUGAAGAAAUGUAGAAAGAUAGUCUAACAGCUUGCCCAAGAUUAUACAUCUAAUAAGCAGCUGGGUCAGGAGGCAAACCCAUCCAGUUUGGCCUGAGGCCAGGUUCUUAAUCUCUGUAGUACAGUGACUAAAUCGGUUCUCAAAGUGUGGCCCCAGACCAAGAGCAUGAGUAUCAUUGGAAACUCAUAAGAAAUGGUAAUCCUUAGGCCCUAUCUCAAACCUGCUGAGUCAGAAAUUUUGGAGGUAGGGCCCAGCAAUCAGUGUUUUCACAAGCCUUCCAGGGGAUUCUGAUGUCUGGUCAACUUUGAGAACCUCUCCCUCAGAGUAUAGUCAGGGAAUUGCUAAUACAGAUUCUAAAUUUUAUUUUAUCUGUUAGCAAAUCAUUGCACACAUUCCUACACAUAUUUAGUUUUUUUCCUCAUCCCAGCAACUUUUAAUCUACUUUAAUAGCAAUUUAUUUACAAUUAAAACACUACAUAUCCUUUAUCUUCAAAAGCCAAUAAGGAUUUUAUAGAUUUAUUUACUUACUUAUUUGACAGGGUCUUGCUCUGCCGCCCAGGCUAGAGUGCAAUAGCACAAUCUCGGCUCACUCCAACCUCCUGGGAUCAAGCAAUUCUCUCACCUCAGUCCCCAAGUAGCUGGGAUUACAGGCAUGUGCCACCAUGUCUGGCUAGUUUUUGUGUUUUUUGUAGAGAUGGUUUUUUGCCAUGUGACCCAGGCUGGUUUCAAACUCCUGGGCUCAAGUUAUCCACCCACCUCGGCCUCCCAAAGUGCUGGGAUUAUAGGCAUGAGCCACCGCACCAGUGUGGAUUUUGUAGAUUUAAACAGAUAUCCUAAGUGAUGUCAGAUACUGCAAAACACAUUUUUCUUUCCUAAAGUAAGACUAUUCAAGAUCCUUAAAGAGCAGAAUCAGUUCACAUCUAGCAAGAGCUUUCAAGAGUAAACAGAGACCUGUUUUACUUUUGACUUCAAGGCAUUUGAUGCUGUCAUACUCCAGACAAAAUUCUUAGUUGGAAAGAAGUUAAGAUACCUGUUGUUGAACAUUUGUUCACUGGGAUUUGGCUGUCAGCAACCUCCUCAACAUUCUUUCUGGGAGUGAGUUUAGUACUCCUGAGAGUUGAAAAAUAUUUCUGUUUUGUAAAAAAAUUGAGACUUUGGAUUGUGUUUAUGUAUGCAUAUGCAUGCCAACUCAAUUUGCAUCUUAUGAUCUACCAAUCUGAAAUCAAAAGCAAUGUAAGACCAUAACCAGUAUUGCUGGGGACAUUGCUAUGACAGACAGUUUCAACAUAAAAUUUGAAUCUCUUUGAAAAAUACUUAAAUGUCCUUAAAGCCAAAUUAUUUUAUUGUUUCAAUUCUUGAACUAAAUCAAGAUACUUUUUCUUGUUUAAAGCAGGUGCUUCCCAAUGACUUGGGUAGAGAGAUUAAAAGAACUACCUUGGUCAGCCAAAUGAAGUCUUAGUAUUUUUUUUAUUUCUAAAAUGUAACUAUACUCCAGUGCAAGUAUUGUUACUUAAAUGUAUUACCAUCGCAGUAGUUUUAAGCAUAUAAGUCGUGAAAAAAAGACAUAUCCCACCCAUCCAACAUCAAAAUUAGUGCCUCACUUGUCCUGGGGGUCAGACACUGGCAGAAAAUUACCAGAGAGAGGGUGAGUCAGCAUACAAAACCCAAGUAAGUCCAUUGAAUCUAAAUCAAGGAAAGAAAUAGUUCACAUUGUUCUUCUUCUUCAUAGUUUCUUUUUGAGGCAGAGAAUUCUUCUAAAUGAUUGUUGGAACUUAGAAUUACUCAAGAUUAUUAUAACCGAGUGGCCAGAGGGAUAUGCUGCCAUUAUGUCCUUCAGCAUAAAGAACUGGUGACUUCUGUAAGUGUGGUGUUUCUGAGGGCAUCCUCUUCCACAUUUUUAGCGUAAUCUACCUCGACACACAGAUGCAAUGCUCACAGAGGCCAGAACGCUUCCCAGAAGCAGCCAAG